UCUCUUUGAAGGUGUGCUGUCCAGUCUGCUGAAUAAUUUUAAUCAAGUGGCUUCCAACCGACGUCAGCGGCGUGGGUUGACAAAAUAUGAUCUCAUUCGUGGCUAUGGUGGCACCUCUGGACCCAGUACAACUAAACCCACCACACCAAAUGAUCCAUUCAACUUGGCGGAUGCUCUUCUUCCAGAUGACAGUCAACUUGAUUUGACAAAAGCUCUCAACUCAGCUGAGAAACCAGGCACACAAGAUUUCCAGAAAAAUGUGCUCCAAAAAUUGGACACAAUCAAUGAGGAAGUGAGUCAGCUCUUCCGCCUGCUGCCGCGGAUCAUGGCUCAAAGACCAUCAAAGUGAGAUCUCUGGGACACCAAGUAAAGAAGACAUCGGGCCAGAUGAUGACAUCUUCCUGAACAUGUCUGAUCUUAUGAAUCCUUUUUCCUGAUCAGAUUUCAAACAUAUAUUCAAUACUGUCAUUUAAAUGUUUAGCAUGAAUAUUUUCUCUCAUAUGCUGAUCAACUUAAAAUGUACAACUUAUGAUACAGAAGGUCUCUGUAAGAUCCAUGCAUGAUGAAAGAAGACUGGUGUUAAAACAUACUGCAGAAUCAAUAAAGAGGAUCAUGGUGAA